rnacentral:lncRNA from 1 species
AAGAAUGAAAAUUUAUUUAUACUUAUCAAGGAUGGAUAGUAGUCAUUAAUUUACCGUAAGCCUCAUUAGAAUCAAAUGCUUUGAUGUCCUCUACAUACAAAUGCACCGGAAAAUAGCCAUUACAGAUGUAAUAAGAUGAUAGACAUUAGACACUCGUGACUCAACACUACUUCAUGAAUACUUAUUUAACACAAAUGUCAACAGACUAGCCUAUAAAUAACUUAAUUACAGAAAGACGCAGUACAUUACAGUUCACAAAUCACACAAAUAAUCACAUAGUUGCAUACUUGCAUUCAAUGAUUAAAAAAGGACGCAAUACAUGUCUUUCAUAUUCUUUCCAUGGGUUUUCAUCAGAUUUUGUUGUUAAUGUGUAACUAACAAUUUCUUUUGUUGUUUCACUUCAAGAAUCUCUAACAAUGCUUACAGAUUUUGCUCUUCAACUUCUAGAGUGCUACACUGCUCUGCUACUGCCUACUCGUGUUGUUUUCCACAACUUUAUUAGAUUUCAUUAUUAAUUUACCAUCAAAAUAAAAAAAAUCAGAUGAGAGUUGGGACGCUUCCAGCCGUGAGUCGCGAGCGAGCACUGAGCAUUGGCCAGUGAGAAGCGAUGCGGGCUGCGAGCACUCGGCGAGAGUCAGAGAUUAGAGUUGAGAGACGACGAACUGAGAGAUGAGAGAUGAGAGUUGACUGUUGAACAGACGUGAGGCGAGAGUUGAGAGAUUGGAGUUGAUGUUUGAGUUAGGGAUUUCAGAUUAUCAAUUUAGGGAUUUUCUAUUAGAAUUUGGGCCUAAUUUGAAUAUGGG